rnacentral:rRNA from 1 species
CUACGGGAUGCAGCAGUGGGGAAUAUUGCACAAUGGGCGCAAGCCUGAUGCAGCCAUGCCGCGUGUAUGAAGAAGGCCUUCGGGUUGUAAAGUACUCUCAGCGGGGAGGAAGGGAGUAAAGUUAAUACCUUUGCUCAUUGACGUUACCCGCAGAAGAAGCACCGGCUAACUCCGUGCCAGCAGCCGCGGUAAUACGGAGGGUGCAAGCGUUAAUCGGAAUUACUGGGCGUAAAGCGCACGCAGGCGGUGUGUUAGGUCAGAUGUGAAAUCCCCGGGCUCAACCUGGGAACUGCAUCUGAUACUGGCAAGCUUGAGUCUCGUAGAGGGGGGUAGAAUUCCAGGUGGAGCGGUGAAAUGCGUAGAGAUCUGGAGGAAUACCGGUGGCGAAGACGGCCCCCUGGACGAAGACUGACGCUCAGGUGCGAAAGCGUGGGGAGCAAACAGGAUUAGAUACCCUAGUAGUC